rnacentral:rRNA from 1 species
AGUGAACGCUGGCGGUAUGCCUAACACAUGCAAGUCGAACGGCAGCACAGUAAGAGCUUGCUCUUACGGGUGGCGAGUGGCGGACGGGUGAGGAAUACAUCGGAAUCUACUUUUUCGUGGGGGAUAACGUAGGGAAACUUACGCUAAUACCGCAUACGACCUACGGGUGAAAGCAGGGGAUCUUCGGACCUUGCGCGAUUGAAUUAGCCGAUGUCGGAUUAGCUAGUUGGCGGGGUAAAGGCCCACCAAGGCGACGAUCCGUAGCUGGUCUGAGAGGAUGAUCAGCCACACUGGAACGGAGACACGGUCCAGACUCCUACGGGAGGCAGCAGUGGGGAAUAUUGGACAAUGGGCGCAAGCCUGAUACAGCCAUCCCGCGUGGGUGAAGAAGGCCUUCGGGUUGUAAAGCCCUUUUGUUGGGAAAGAAAAGCAGCAGGUUAAUACCCAGCUGUUCUGACGGUACCCAAAGAAUAAGCACCGGCUAACUUCGUG